UUUGAUCAUGGCUCAGAAUGAACGUUGGCGGCGUGGAUUAGGCAUGCAAGUCGAGCGAGAAGGUUCCUUCGGGAACUGGAAAGCGGCGAACGGGGUAGUAAUGCGUAGGUGACGUGCCCUUGGGGCCGGAAUAGCUACGGGAAACUGUAGGUAAUGCCGGAUAACCUCCCGAUUUUUGAAGAUAACGGGAGCAAUGGGUGUGAUUCCACCCAUGGAGCGGCCUGCGUGGUAUUAGCUAGUUGGUGAGGUAAUGGCUCACCAAGGCUCAGAUGCCUAGGGGGUGUGAGAGCAUGGCCCCCACCACUGGGACUGAGAUACUGCCCAGACACCUACGGGUGGCUGCAGUCGAGAAUCUUCGGCAAUGGACGAAAGUCUGACCGAGCGACGCCGCGUGCGGGAUGAAGGCCCUCGGGUUGUAAACCGCUGUCAGAGGGGAUGAAAUGCGCAUGGGUUAUCCCAUACGCUUGACAGAGCCUCAGAGGAAGCACGGGCUAAGUACGUGCCAGCAGCCGCGGUGAUACGUACUGUGCGAACGUUAUUCGGAAUUACUGGGCUUAAAGGGUGUGUAGGCGGCUGAUUAAGUAGGGUGUGAAAGGCUCCGGCCUAACCGGAGCAUUGCGCUCUAAACUGAUCGGCUUGGGUGAGAUAGGGGUGUGCGGAACUUCCAGUGGAGCGGUGAAAUGUGUUGAUAUUGGAAGGAACGCCGGUGGCGAAAGCGGCACACUGGGUCUUAACUGACGCUGAGACACGAAAGCCAGGGGAGCGAACGGGAUUAGAUACCCCGGUAGUCCUGGCUGUAAACGCUGAGCACUAGUUGGGAGGGCUUCGGCCCAUCCGAACGCAGAGAAAUCAUUAAGUGCUCCGCCUGGGGAGUAUGGUCGCAGGCCGAAACUCAAAGGAAUUGACGGGGCUCACACAAGCGUGGAAGCAUGUGGCUUAAUUCGAGGCA
rnacentral:rRNA from 1 species